AGAGUUUGAUCAUGGCUCAGAUUGAACGCUGGCGGUAUGCUUAACACAUGCAAGUCGAACGGAAACGAUACUAGCUUGCUAGUAGGCGUCGAGUGGCGGUCGGGUGAGUAACGCGUAGGAAUCUACCAGAUAGUGGGGGAUAGCCCGGAGAAAUUCGGAUUAAUACCGCAUAAUCUCUACGGAGUAAAGGAGGCCUCUAUUUAUAUGCUUUCGCUAUCUGAUGAGCCUGCGUAAGAUUAGCUAGUUGGUGAGGUAAAAGCUCACCAAGGCAACGAUCUUUAGCUGGUCUGAGAGGAUGAUCAGCCACACUGGGACUGAGACACGGCCCAGACUCCUACGGGAGGCAGCAGUGGGGAAUAUUGGACAAUGGGGGCAACCCUGAUCCAGCAAUACCGCGUGUGUGAAGAAGGCCUGAGGGUUGUAAAGCACUUUCAAUUGUGAAGAAAAGUUAAUAGUUAAUAACUAUUAGCNUUGACGGUAACUUUAGAAGAAGC
rnacentral:rRNA from 1 species